rnacentral:miRNA from 1 species
GUCAGUAGACACAUUCCAGCCAAUCAGCAGCAGACACUCCCUCCCAGACCCUCCCACCUCCUGGACAGCAUCCAUUUUACAUUAAUUGUGAAGCUGCAUUCUUAGUGAGCUGUCCAGGAGGUGGGAGGGUCUGGGAGGGAGGGUCUGCUACUGAUUGGCUGGAAUGUAUCUGCUG